rnacentral:lncRNA from 1 species
GGACCAGUGGUGCAGAGGAAGAGGGACGAGGCAGAUCCAGGGAAGGAGGCUGGCAUCCAAUACAAGAGAGCUAUCUAUGUGUGCUAGGUCUUCCCUAGGAUUUGGUGAAAUCUUUUGCUUAGUUUUGUUUGGGAAAAGUUCUUAUAAUGUAGUCUAAUCUGGCCUGGAAAUUGCUAUGUAGUCCAGGCAAGCCUUCUCCUGCCUCAGCCUCUGGAAUGCGGGGAUUAUAGGCUUGUGACAUCACACCAACUUCCCUACAAAAUUCGAAAAAAAAUAUCAUGAUUAGUGCUGUGUUGUAGAGAGAGCUAGCCGAUUACAAUAUGAAGGGUGAUUUUUGAGACAAAAAUUAGCUCAGUGAGGAGAGAACAGAAACCUUCAGGAAGGCAGUAAUGGAGACACAAAGCUAGAGCCAAGGCUGGGGAUCAGAAGAGAAGGACAGGUUCUGGUUUCUGACUUGGAUGAGCAAAGAGGAGAGUGAAGUCACUGGGGACAAGCACACUGGAGUAUUGUAUGGGCAGGAAGCGUCUAAAUUAGAGAGGCUGGGGCACAGGAUGGGGUGGGGGGUUAGGGUUCAUAGAUUGGAGAAUAUUAGGUAGUUCUUGCCCAUAGAAUAUUUUAUGAAAACGUUACGGAAACACGGAGCUCAAGAGUAAGCUCUGGAGACCUGUUGAGGGUGGAGGAUUCAGAGCAUAAGACAGAGCAACUGGGGAAGGAGAGUGACGGUGACCCUGUGGAUGGAGGUGAGCAUUCUAGCGUAGAAGGAGCUGGGAGUGGACGACGACGAUGAUGAUGAUGAUGAGGUUGUUGAUGAUUUUGAGAGAAAGCCAAGUUCCUCACAGAGCAGAGGCUUUCCAGUAGCCUCAGUGAGAAGAGUUCAUUUUCGGAGGGCAAGAUGCUGGCCAGUUCCUUUACCCACUCGGACAUCCAGUUCAAGCGUAUGUAACGAACUGGAAAGAAUGGGCAUCUGUCAUCCUCAAGAAAUGACAGACAGGCAGGCCUGCACCCAGCAGCUGAGGCACCCGGAGACCCAGGGCUCUGCACAGUUUCUAGCACUUCCUUCUCUAAGCUGCGCCAGCGCCUGCCUGAGCUGAGCCACGAGAGAGGCAUCUGUGAUACCUGAUGACAAUCAUCUCUGAUUAGAGUUCCACCACGCAGCCCAGGCGAGCUGGGCCACAGCUAAUUAGCAUGUGAGGCCAGCGUGCUGUUUACUGGAACUGUACUAACAAGUUGUAGCUUUUUCCAUCACAGGAGAGUCGUUGUCAGCCAGGAACCCUUCACUCCGUCAGUUUAGGGACAAGGCAGAUACUCCUUAUGCACUACCCCCACGACACAUUAAUGCAUUUGUGCUGAGAGUCACUUUCAGUCCAUGUUCCCACCUCUGUAAACUGUCACUUCUAGACAUGGUAGUAAAAAAUCUGGUGUUGUUCUAAGUGGUCUUGCACUUUUAAAUGAGUAUCUUUUAAAAU